UACGUAGGGUGCGAGCGUUGUCCGGAAUUAUUGGGCGUAAAGGGCUCGUAGGCGGUUUGUCGCGUCGGGAGUGAAAACCAGGUGCUUAACACCUGGCUUGCUUUCGAUACGGGCAGACUAGAGGUAUGCAGGGGAGAACGGAAUUCCUGGUGUAGCGGUGAAAUGCGCAGAUAUCAGGAGGAACACCGGUGGCGAAGGCGGGUCUCUGGGCCGAUACUGACGCUGAGGAGCGAAAGCGUGGGGGAGCGAACAGG
rnacentral:rRNA from 1 species